UACAGAGGGUGCGAGCGUUGUUCGGAAUCACUGGGCGUAAAGCGCGCGCAGGCGGGCGUGUAAGUCAGAAGUGAAAUUCCGGGGCUCAACCCCGGAGCUGCUCCUGAUACUGCAGGUCUGGAGACCGGUAGAGGCUGGUGGAAUUCCCGGUGUAGCGGUGGAAUGCGUAGAGAUCGGGAAGAACACCCGUGGCGAGGGCGGCCAGCUGGGCCGGUUCUGACGCUGAGGCGCGAAAGCGUGGGGAGCAAACAGG
rnacentral:rRNA from 1 species